rnacentral:rRNA from 1 species
UGCUGUGGUAUUUUGACUAUACGAAGGUAUUGAAAUAAGAUUUUAAAUGAGUGCUAAGAGAAUGAUUAAACAAUUAAAAGCUUUCUUUAAUUGAAUAAUUGAAUUUAAUUUUUUAGUGCAAAAGCAAAAAUAAAAAUUAGGGACAAGAAGACCCUAUGAAUUUUUUAUUAAAUUUUAUAAAACUUUAUAUAAAAUUUAAUUUAAUUGGGGUGAUGGAAAAAGAAUAAAUAUCUUUUUUUAAAAGAAAAUUGGUUCCGUUCUUAGCGAUUAAAUGAAAAAAAUACUCUAGGGAUAACAGCGUAAUAAUUUUGGAUAGUUCAUAUAGAUAAAAUAGUUUGCGACCUCGAUG